AAGGAGCCAGCCGCCGAAGGUGGGGUAGAUAACUGGGGUGAAGUCGUAACAAGGUAUCCGUACCGGAAGGUGCGGAUGGAUCACCUCCUUUCUAUGGAGA
rnacentral:rRNA from 1 species